GAGUUUGAUCUUGGCUCAGAGUGAACGCUGGCGGUAGGCCUAACACAUGCAAGUCGAACGGCAGCACAGAGGAGCUUGCUCCUUGGGUGGCGAGUGGCGGACGGGUGAGGAAUACAUCGGAAUCUACUCUGUCGUGGGGGAUAACGUAGGGAAACUUACGCUAAUACCGCAUACGACCUACGGGUGAAAGCAGGGGAUCUUCGGACCUUGCGCGAUUGAAUGAGCCGAUGUCGGAUUAGCUAGUUGGCGGGUAAAGGCCCACCAAGGCGACGAUCCGUAGCUGGUCUGAGAGGAUGAUCAGCCACACUGGAACUGAGACACGGUCCAGACUCCUACGGGAGGCAGCAGUGGGGAAUAUUGGACAAUGGGCGCAAGCCUGAUCCAGCCAUACCGCGUGGGUGAAGAAGGCC
rnacentral:rRNA from 1 species